UACGUAGGGUGCGAGCGUUGUCCGGAAUUAUUGGGCGUAAAGAGCUCGUAGGCGGUCUGUCGCGUCCGUUGUGAAAACUCGAGGCUCAACCUCGGGCUUGCAGUGGAUACGGGCAGACUAGAGUGCGGUAGGGGAGACUGGAAUUCCUGGUGUAGCGGUGGAAUGCGACCAGAGUAUCAGGAGGAACACCGAUGGCGAAGGCAGGUCUCUGGGCCG
rnacentral:rRNA from 1 species